GGGCCUGUAGCUCAGUCCGCGAGAGCGUUCGCCCCGCAAGCGAAGGGUCACGGGUUGAAAUCCCGUCAGGUCCACCA
rnacentral:tRNA from 1 species